rnacentral:rRNA from 1 species
GACGAACGCUGGCGGCGUGCUUAACACAUGCAAGUCGAACGGAAAGGCCCUGCUUUUGUGGGGUGCUCGAGUGGCGAACGGGUGAGUAACACGUGAGUAACCUGCCCUUGACUUUGGGAUAACUUCAGGAAACUGGGGCUAAUACCGGAUAGGAGCUCCUGCUGCAUGGUGGGGGUUGGAAAGUUUCGGCGGUUGGGGAUGGACUCGCGGCUUAUCAGCUUGUUGGUGGGGUAGUGGCUUACCAGGGCUUUGACGGGUAGCCGGCCUGAGAGGGUGACCGGCCACAUGGGGACUGAGAUACGGCCCAGACUCCUACGGGAGGCAGCAGGGGGGAAUAUUGCACAAUGGGCGGAAGCCUGAUGCAGCAACGCCGCGUGCGGGAUGACGGCCUUCGGGUUGUAAACCGCUUUCGCCUGUGACGAAGCGUGAGUGACGGUAAUGGGUAAAGAAGCACCGGCUAACUACGUG